rnacentral:rRNA from 1 species
UACGUAGGGUGCAGGCGUUAAUCGGAAUUACUGGGCGUAAAGCGUGCGCAGGCGGUUUGCUAAGACAGGUGUGAAAUCCCCGGGCUUAACCUGGGAACUGCGCUUGUUACUGGCAGGCUUGAGUGUGGCGGAGGGGGGUGGAAUUCCACGUGUAGCAGUGAAAUGCGUAGAGAUGUGGAGGAACACCGAUGGCGAAGGCAGCCCCCUGGGCUAACACUGACGCUCAUGCACGAAAGCGUGGGGAGCAAACAGG